CCAUCUUCAAGCUAGCUCGAAGCUAUUCCCUACUCCAUCCCUGUAGCGCAUCCUUGGAGCUGCCGAGCUCGUGGCCACGUAGUAGAGGUCUUCGCUAAGCUUUUCCAGAUGGGCGAAGUUCUCGUGGUCAGCAGGGAAACGGUGA